UCCAACUUGUGGGAGUGGUAAUCCUUGUGUUUCUGCUAGUAUAAACCCUCUCAUCAGUCCUCAGGUUUGCCCUGUACAGAACCUUGCACGUUGUGUUCCUGCACGUGGUGACCAACCCACCCAGUUGCUCAUCUCACCGUGGCCGGGGUGUCUUGAGGAGUCGCGUGCCCAGGUGACGCUUGUUCUGUGAUCUCUAGUGGUAAGUGAAGCUCGCCGAAGUAGUUUCUCUAAGUUUACUGUUGUGUACUGGCCAGAACAGAGUCACACCGACGCGGUCUGGCGCCGUGGACAGCUUCACCACCAACUCAUCGUACCACGUCUUCUCCGAGUGUUUUCACACAAGCACAGUAAGACAGGUGAGGCCCUUGAGUUUCCUUUAUCUGGAAUUGGAACUCUACCGCAUGUAUGCCUCGGGGUCAAGAUCACCGGACCUCGUUUUCCACCGCUGCCACCAAUAGUUGUGUUCCUAGGUCCCCGUGAUCAAUUAAGCGUGUGUUCAGGUUCGCCGGAGUACGGGGACUCUGUUGGUGUCCUCACCAUCACCUGUGUCGUCCCAUGGUGGCCGGUCCGUUGCAAGAUCGCCGGCGUUGAGCGUAGCCGGGUCGUGGCCAGAUUUUUGUAAAUGGAGCAAAGUAGAGGAACCUAGAUGCAAUGGUCAGUGUCACAGGGUAACAGUGUAUCGGGCCGAUAUUGAUUUAGUUGGAGUGCGGGGUCCUUUUUGCAAGAUGUGCGCGUGCGGGCGGGGCUCCCCAGCCGCUUGCCAGGUUUGCCCGGUGUUGGGCCGGCUAGGCUGGUUCUGGCCUAGAACUGUUCGCAGUUUUGUGUUUUUCUUUUAACAGAGAAAUUAUAAAUUGUGCCAGAAAUUGUAGAAAAAUCCAAAAAUAGUGAGACAAAUUAGUUUGGAUGUAUAAAUUCAUGAGCUCUCUGGUAAAGUUGGUUUUAGGAUUUUUAAAGCAAUUAGAAAAUAUUAAGUGAAUUAAAGGUGCUUUAAAAGGACUAUUGGAAUUUUAGAAAUAAGAGUUGAGCACCAAAAAUCAUAGAAAUUCUUGGAAAGACUUGUUAUCAUAAAGUGAGCACUUGUUAAAAUUUGGAGACUUUUUAGAAGCCUUUUUCUUAGAAAGCAUUGUAAAGUCACAAAUAGGGUGAGAAAAUCCCUAAUCAAGUAUGAAUUAAUGCUUUGGAAAGAAGAUAAGUUUAUCUAGGGAAGAGAUGCAGUUGCUUAAGAAGUUUUACGCUUUUGGAUGAGAUCUAAGAUGGAUUAGUUCUCUAGUUUGCCUAAGUGAAUCCGAUUUAGCCACUUUUAGCAAGUGUUGGUGGUGUAAAACCAUGUGUAUACUUGUCAUGUGUUUUAGUUUGUGGUGUUUAUGUUCCCCACCUCUCCUUGUGAGAGUUUGCAUUUCAUGUCAUUACAUAAACAUACAUGUAUUUGUAAUUGACUUGUAG
rnacentral:lncRNA from 1 species